AGAGUUUGAUCCUGGCUCAGGAUGAACGCUGGCGGCGUGCUUAACACAUGCAAGUCGAACGAAACACCUUAUUUGAUUUUCUUCGGAACUGAAGAUUUGGUGAUUGAGUGGCGGACGGGUGAGUAACGCGUGGGUAACCUGCCCUGUACAGGGGGAUAACAGUCAGAAAUGACUGCUAAUACCGCAUAAGACCACAGCACCGCAUGGUGCAGGGGUAAAAACUCCGGUGGUACAGGAUGGACCCGCGUCUGAUUAGCUGGUUGGUGAGGUAACGGCUCACCAAGGCGACGAUCAGUAGCCGGCUUGAGAGAGUGAACGGCCACAUUGGGACUGAGACACGGCCCAAACUCCUACGGGAGGCAGCAGUGGGGAAUAUUGCACAAUGGGGGAAACCCUGAUGCAGCGACGCCGCGUGAGUGAAGAAGUAUCUCGGUAUGUAAAGCUUCUAUCAGCAGGGAAGAAAAUGACGGUACCUGACUAAGAAGCCCCGGCUAACUACGUGCCAGCAGCCGCGGU
rnacentral:rRNA from 1 species